rfam:Rattus norvegicus chromosome 10, whole genome shotgun sequence.
GGGGAUUUAGCUCAGUGGUAGAGCGUUUGCCUAGCAAGCGCAAGGCCCUGGGUGCAGUCCCCA